AUCAGUACUGUGCUUUUGGAGGAUUCAGAAGAAGUUAUAUCUGAUUGGGAGAUUGAAAAGGAUUGGCCUGAAGGAGAGGUGGUUUUUGAACUGCAUCUUAAAGGAUGGAGUCUUGCUCUGUCAUCCAGGCUGGAGUACAAUGGCGCAAUCUCGGCUCACUGCAACCUCUGCCUCCUGGGUUCAAGCAAUUCUCCUGCCUCAGCCUCCCGAGUAGCUGAGAUUACAGGCACCCGCCACCACACCCGGCUAACUUUUUGUAUUUUUAGUAGAGACGGGGUUUCACCAUGUUGCCCAGGCUGGUCUCGAACUCCUGACCUCAUGAUCUGCCCACCUCGGCCUCCCAAAGUGCUGGAAUUACAGCUGUGAGCCAUUGCGCCCAGCCAGUUAGGAUAUUUUUUAAAAAUUGUUUUUCCAGCUUAAGUUUAGGGAGUAAGGGUGAUUACAAGGGACAACAUAGAAAAAUUGAGAGAACUCUGGCUUUGGAGGCAAACAACCCGUGGGUGGAAUCCUGGCUCCACCACUUACAAGCUGGAUGGCUUUGGUCAAGUUACUUCACUUCUCUUUCCUUCUAUUUCCCCACCCCCCGAUAAGGAAAUGAUUAAUAAUAACUAACAUUU
rnacentral:lncRNA from 10 species